AGAGUUUGAUCCUGGCUCAGGACGAACGCUGGCGGCGUGCCUAACACAUGCAAGUCGAACGGGGUUGAGUGCUUCGGUAUUCAACCUAGUGGCGAACGGGUGAGUAACGCGUGAGAAACCUGCCUUUCAGUGGGGGACAACAGUUGGAAACGACUGCUAAUACCGCAUGAUACUUCGAGGGGGCAUCCCUUUGAAGUCAAAGCUUUAUGUGCUGAAAGAUGGUCUCGCGUCUGAUUAGCUUGUUGGCGGGGUAACGGCCCACCAAGGCGACGAUCAGUAGCCGGUCUGAGAGGAUGAACGGCCACAUUGGGACUGAGAUACGGCCCAGACUCCUACGGGAGGCAGCAGUGGGGAAUAUUGGGCAAUGGGGGAAACCCUGACCCAGCAACGCCGCGUGAAGGAAGAAGGCCUUCGGGUUGUAAACUUCUUUUAGCAGGGACGAAGAACGUGACGGUACCUGCAGAAAAAGCAACGGCUAACUACGUGCCAGCAGCCGCGGUAAUACGUAGGUUGCAAGCGUUGUCCGGAUUUACUGGGUGUAAAGGGCGUGUAGGCGGAGAUGCAAGUUAGGAGUGAAAUCCAUGGGCUCAACCCAUGAACUGCUUCUAAAACUGUAUCCCUUGAGUAUCGGAGAGGCAAGCGGAAUUCCUAGUGUAGCGGUGAAAUGCGUAGAUAUUAGGAGGAACACCAGUGGCGAAGGCGGCUUGCUGGACGACAACUGACGCUGAGGCGCGAAAGCGUGGGGGGCAAACAGGAUUAGAUACCCUGGUAGUCCACGCUGUAAACGAUGAAUACUAGGUGUGGGGAGGAUUGACCCCUUCCGUGCCGCAGUUAACACAAUAAGUAUUCCACCUGGGGAGUACGACCGCAAGGUUGAAACUCAAAGGAAUUGACGGGGGCCCGCACAAGCAGUGGAUUAUGUGGUUUAAUUCGACGCAACGCGAAGAACCUUACCAGGAUUUGACAUCCAACUAACGAAGUAGAGAUACAUUAGGUGCCCUUCGGGGAAAGUUGAGACAGGUGGUGCAUGGUUGUCGUCAGCUCGUGUCGUGAGAUGUUGGGUUAAGUCCCGCAACGAGCGCAACCCCUAUUGUUAGUUGCUACGCAAGAGCACUCUAGCGAGACUGCCGUUGACAAAACGGAGGAAGGCGGGGACGACGUCAAAUCAUCAUGCCCUUUAUGUCCUGGGCUACACACGUAAUACAAUGGUGGUUAACAGAGGGAAGCAAGACAGUGAUGUGGAGCAAAUCCCUAAAAGCCAUCUCAGUUCGGAUUGCAGGCUGCAACUCGCCUGCAUGAAGCUGGAAUUGCUAGUAAUCGCGGAUCAGCAUGCCGCGGUGAAUACGUUCCCGGGCCUUGCACACAACGCCCGUCAAG
rnacentral:rRNA from 1 species